rnacentral:siRNA from 1 species
CAGAGACGAUUCUCACUUCUCU